rnacentral:sRNA from 1 species
CCCUUCUAUACAGCCUCAUUCUUACAAAAUAUUUCAAAGCAAUAACAUCUAAAUUCUUUUGUAGUCUUGAUUUGUUUUUUUUGGUUUUUAAAGAUCAAUCAUGUGUUGCGGACCGUGCGGUGGCUGCUGUGCUCCCUGCUGCGGAGGUUGCUUUGGACCUAAUGUGUGCGGACCCUGCUAUGCCACAGGUCCCUGCUUCGGCUGCUGCGGCGGCUGUGCUGUCGGGCCUUGUGGCGGCUGCUGCAGCAGCUGUGGCCCCUCCUGCUAAAAAUCACCUGUGUACCCUUUGUGUUCUCGAAUUUCCGAUUAGACUGCAUUACAUGUGUACUUUUUGGCUAAAGAAUACAAAUUUAACAGACUAAUAGUUUUUAUCAAUAAAAAUGUAAGAACCAACUAAGAUUA